GACGAACGCUGGCGGCGUGCUUAACACAUGCAAGUCGAACGGAAAGGCCCUGCUUUUGUGGGGUGCUCGAGUGGCGAACGGGUGAGUAACACGUGAGUAACCUGCCCUUGACUUUGGGAUAACUUCAGGAAACUGGGGCUAAUACCGGAUAGGAGCUCCUGCUGCAUGGUGGGGGUUGGAAAGUUUCGGCGGUUGGGGAUGAACUCGCGGCUUAUCAGCUUGUUGGUGUGGUAGUGGCUACCAAGGCUUUGACGGGUAGCCGGCCUGAGAGGGUGACCGGCCACAUUGGGACUGAGAUACGGCCCAGACUCCUACGGGAGGCAGCAGUGGGGAAUAUUGCACAAUGGGCGGAAGCCUGAUGCAGCAACGCCGCGUGCGGGAUGACGGCCUUCGGGUUGUAAACCGCUUUCGCCUGUGACGAAGCGUGAGUGACGGUAAUGGGUAAAGAAGCACCGGCUAACUACGUG
rnacentral:rRNA from 1 species